AUAAUCCUAAAAAUCAAGCUCGAAAUUUGGCAAAUCGCAUAGUAUCUCAUUUCCUCUGCAUCUCCUUCCUCCUCCUCCCGCAAUCGCAUCCUCCUCCUCGUAAAACCCUAACAACAAAAGCAGCAUCUUGUAGUUAUUAUAGUUAUAGUUGUAGUUGUGGUUGUAUCUCUAGUCGGCGCCGUUCUGCCAACCACCUCUGCUGCUUCUGCUUCUGCUGCUAUCUCGAUAGAUGUCGAAUCUGGGAGGUGGUGCGGAGGCACACGCACGUUUUAAGCAGUAUGAAUACAGAGCGAAUUCGAGUCUAGUGCUCACUACAGAUUCGCGGCCGAGGGAUACCCACGAACCCACCGGUGAGCCGGAGUCUCUGUAUGGUAAAAUUGACCCAAAAUCGUUUGGGGACCGGGUUGCCAAGGGAAGACCUCCCGAGCUUGAGGAAAAAAUGAAGAAAUCUUCACAAAAGAAGAAGAAGGAAAGAGAAAUAAACGCAGAGCCUGGGGCGGCUCGGCAGAGCAAGAGACGCCGUAUGCAGGAGGAGAGUGUUCUUAAUGUCACUGAAGAAGGUGUCUACCAGCCGAAAACAAAAGAAACCCGGGCCGCGUAUGAAGCUAUGCUAAGUAUCAUUCAGCAGCAGCUGGGAGGGCUGCCUCUCAGUAUUGUUAGCGGUGCUGCUGAUGAGAUUUUGGCUGUAUUAAAGAACGAUGCUAUUAAGUAUCCGGACAAGAAGAUUGAAAUCGAGAAGAUGCUGGAUUCAAUACCUUCUUCUGUGUUUGAUAGCUUGGUUAAUUCGGGGAAGAUGAUUACUGACUAUCAAGAGGGUGGUGAAGCUGCCCCAUCUGCUAAUGGGGAUGGUCUUGAUAAUGAAGUAGGUGUUGCAGUGGAGUUUGAGGAGAAUGAUGAUGAUGACGAUGAGAGUGAUUUUGGUUCAGUGCAGGAUGAUGAUGAGGAGGAUGAAGAUAUCACCGAUUCAGCAGGGGGUAUGCAAAUGGGUGGUGGGAUUGGCGAUGAAGAUAUGCCAGAUGCGGAUGAGGGUAUGAACCUGAAUGUUCAGGACAUUGAUGCAUAUUGGCUUCAGAGGAAGAUUUCUCAAGCCUAUGAUCAACAGAUUGAUCCACAACAGUGCCAGAAUCUUGCUGAAGAUGCACUUAAAUUGCUUGCUGAAGGGGAGGAUAGGGAGAUUGAGAAUACGCUUUUGACUAAACUUGACUAUGAUAGGUUCAACCUUGUCAGGUUCCUUGUGCGUAAUAGGCGAAAAAUUGUGUGGUGUACCCGCUUGGCGCGAGCUGAAGAUCAGGAGGAACGGAAAAGGAUUGAAGAAGAAAUGAUGGAAUCUGGUGCAGAUUUGGUUGCCAUCCUGGAGCAGCUGCAUGCCACCAGGGCUACUGCCAAGGAGAGGCAGAAGAAUCUGGAGAAGAGUAUAAGAGAGGAGGCUCGUCGUUUAAAGGAUGAGAAUGCAGUUGAUGGGGACCGUGGCCAUAGAGGAUUGACUGAUAGAGAUGUCGAUAAUGGUUGGUUGAAUGGGCAACGCCAAGUGCUUGAUCUGGAUAACCUUGCUUUCAACCAGGGUGGUCGUUUCAUGGCAAAUAAGAAGACUAUACUUCCAGAUGGAUCCUUUCGUCAUCAGGCUAAAGGAUAUGAGGAAGUUCAUAUUCCUGCAUUAAAAGCCAAGCCACUUGAGAAGGGUGAAGAACUCGUGAAGAUAUCUGCAAUGCCAGAAUGGGCGCAACCAGCUUUUGAAGGAAUGACACAACUGAAUAGGGUGCAGAGUAAAGUUUAUCAAACUGCACUCUUUUCAGCUGAAAACAUUCUUCUCUGUGCUCCAACUGGUGCGGGAAAAACUAAUGUUGCUGUCCUAACCAUAUUGCAGCAGAUUGCGUUGAACAGGGCACCAGAUGGAUCAUUUGACCACAGCAGUUAUAAGAUUGUAUAUGUGGCUCCGAUGAAAGCUCUUGUGGCUGAAGUGGUCGGUAAUUUGUCAAACCGGUUGAAGCAUUAUGGUGUGAACGUGAAAGAGUUAAGUGGAGAUCAGUCAUUAACCAAGCAACAGAUAGAUGAAACACAGAUAAUUGUUACGACCCCUGAGAAAUGGGAUAUUAUAACAAGGAAGUCAGGUGAUCGAACAUACACUCAGCUUGUCAAACUUCUUAUCAUUGAUGAGAUACAUUUGCUCCAUGACAACAGAGGCCCUGUGCUGGAAAGUAUUGUUGCAAGGACAGUUAGGCAAAUUGAAACAACAAAAGAUAAUAUCCGAUUAGUUGGGUUAUCAGCCACCCUUCCGAACUACGAGGACGUGGCAUUGUUCUUGAGGGUUGAUGUAGAAAAAGGGAUGUUCCACUUUGACAACAGCUAUAGACCUUGCCCGCUUGCACAGCAGUACAUUGGAAUCAAUGUGAAGAAGCCACUGCAGAGAUUCCAGUUGAUGAACGAUAUUUGCUAUGAGAAAGUGAUGGCUGUGGCUGGAAAGCACCAGGUUCUUGUUUUUGUUCACUCAAGAAAAGAGACUGCAAAGACUGCUCGUGCAAUAAGGGACACAGCUUUGGCUAAGGAUACCCUUGGCAAAUUUUUGAAAGAGGAUAGUGCGAGUCGUGAGAUUCUUCAUGAUCAUACCGAUUUGGUCAAGAAUAAUGACCUCAAAGAUCUCUUGCCUUACGGCUUUGCAAUUCAUCAUGCUGGGAUGAAUAGGGCUGACCGCGAGCUUGUGGAAGUACUGUUUGGUGAUGGUCACGUGCAAGUCCUAGUUUCUACAGCCACCCUUGCUUGGGGUGUCAAUUUGCCCGCACACUCGGUAAUUAUUAAGGGAACUCAGAUUUAUAAUCCUGAAAAGGGAGCUUGGACGGAAUUGAGUCCUCUUGAUGUCAUGCAGAUGCUUGGGCGUGCUGGUAGACCGCAGUAUGAUACUUAUGGAGAGGGAAUAAUCAUUACUGGCCAUACUGAAUUGCAAUUCUAUCUUUCUUUGAUGAAUCAACAACUUCCUAUUGAAAGCCAGUUUAUUUCAAGGUUGGCUGAUCAGUUGAAUGCAGAAAUUGUUCUUGGCACUGUUCAAAAUGCUAGAGAAGCCCUCAAUUGGAUUGGUUACACAUACCUGUACAUCCGGAUGUUACGUAAUCCUACUCUUUAUGGUUUAGCACCUGAUGUGCUCGAUAGGGAUCUUACACUGGAAGAGAGGAGAGCUGACCUGAUUCAUUCGGCAGCAACUAUUUUGGACAAAAAUAACUUGAUAAAAUAUGAUCGAAAGAGUGGUUACUUCCAGGUAACUGACUUGGGAAGGAUUGCCAGUUUCUAUUACAUUACACAUGGGACAAUAUCCACUUACAAUGAGCACUUAAAGCCAACCAUGGGUGACAUUGAGCUCUGCCGGCUAUUCUCCCUCAGUGAGGAAUUUAAAUAUGUUACAGUUAGGCAAGAUGAGAAGGUGGAAUUGGCCAAGCUUUUGGAACGUGUUCCGAUCCCUGUUAAAGAGAGCUUAGAAGAGCCCAGCGCUAAGAUUAAUGUUCUACUUCAAGCAUAUAUUUCCCAGUUGAAGCUUGAAGGUCUGUCUCUGACAUCAGACAUGGUUUAUAUAACACAGAGUGCAGCGCGUCUUAUGAGAGCACUUUUUGAGAUAAUCUUGAAACGAGGAUGGGCCCAAUUGGCAGAGAAGGCCUUGAAUUUGUGCAAAAUGGUUCAGAAGAGGAUGUGGGGUGUCCAGACACCACUCCGUCAGUUUACUGGAAUAUCUAGCGAAACUUUGAUGAAAUUGGAGAAGAAGGAACUGGCUUGGGAAAGGUUUUAUGACCUUUCCUCUCAAGAACUGGGGGAGCUCAUAAGACAACAGAAGAUGGGAAGGACGCUUCAUAAGUUUAUUCACCAGUUCCCAAAGCUUAACCUUGCAGCACAUGUGCAGCCAAUUACUCGCUCUGUUUUAGGAGUGGAGCUUACAAUUACACCAGAUUUCAUGUGGGAUGACAAGGUUCAUGGAUAUGUGGAGCCUUUUUGGGUUAUUGUGGAGGAUAAUGAUGGUGAAUACAUUCUUCAUCAUGAAUAUUUCAUGCUGAAGAAGCAAUAUAUUGAUGAGGACCAUACACUAAGUUUCACUGUGGAAAUAUCAGAGCCUUUACCCCCACAAUAUUUUAUUCACGUUGUUUCUGAUAGAUGGUUGGGAUCACAGACUGUUUUGCCUGUUUCUUUUAGGCAUCUUAUUUUGCCCGAGAAGUAUCCUCCGCCAACUGAAUUGUUGGACUUGCAACCAUUGCCCGUGACUGCAUUGAGAAAUCCGUCGUAUGAAGCCUUAUAUCAAGAAUUUAGGCACUUUAAUCCCGUCCAGACUCAGGUUUUCACAGUUCUGUACAACGCAGAUGACAACGUUUUGGUUGCUGCGCCAACGGGUAGUGGAAAGACGAUAUGUGCUGAGUUUGCUAUCUUGCGGAACCACCAAAAAGGUCCUGAUAGCACCAUGCGUGUUGUCUAUAUAGCACCUAUUGAAGCUCUUGCCAAGGAACGUUACCGUGAUUGGGAAAGGAAAUUUGGAAGAGGACUUGGUUUGCGAGUGGUUGAACUUACGGGUGAGACAACAACUGACCUGAAGUUACUUGAGAAAGGGCAGAUAAUAAUAAGUACUCCUGAGAAAUGGGAUGCUUUAUCUCGACGCUGGAAACAAAGAAAGUAUGUUCAGCAAGUCAGCCUUUUCGUCAUUGAUGAGCUUCAUCUGAUUGGUGGUCAAGGUGGUCCUGUGCUGGAAGUGAUAGUCUCUAGGAUGCGAUACAUAGCGAGUCAAGUGGAGAACAAGAUUCGUAUUGUUGCUCUAUCAACCUCUCUUGCUAAUGCUAAGGACCUUGGUGAGUGGAUAGGCGCUUCGUCACAUGGUCUUUUCAAUUUUCCACCAGGGGUUCGUCCUGUGCCUCUUGAGAUUCAUAUUCAGGGAAUAGAUAUAGCUAAUUUUGAGGCAAGAAUGCAGGCUAUGACCAAGCCAACCUACACAAAUAUUUCCUUACAUGCUAAGAAUGGGAAACCUGCUAUAGUAUAUGUUCCAACUCGGAAGCAUGCUUCGCUUACUGCAGUUGAUCUUGUCACAUAUGCUAGUGCAGAUAGUGGAGAGAAGCCAAUAUUUUUAUUGCAUUCAUCUGAGGAGCUGGAGCCUUUUACUGAUAAAAUCAAGGAUUCAACACUGAAGACCACUCUAAGCUAUGGUGUGGGCUUUUUGCAUGAAGGAUUAGUUAGCACUGAUAAAGAGAUUGUUUCACAGUUAUUUGAAGCUGGGUGGAUCCAAGUUUGUGUUAUGACUAGUUCAAUGUGCUGGGGAGUACCUUUGUUGGCACAUUUGGUGGUGGUAAUGGGAACUCAGUACUAUGAUGGGAAAGAAAAUGCUCACACGGACUAUCCAGUCACUGAUCUGUUGCAGAUGAUGGGUCAUGCUAGUCGGCCUUUGUUAGACAAAUCUGGAAAGUGUGUUAUCCUCUGCCAUGCUCCACGGAAGGAAUACUACAAGAAGUUCUUGUAUGAAGCAUUCCCUGUGGAAAGCCAUUUGCACCACUACCUUCAUGACAAUCUGAAUGCAGAAAUUGUAGUUGGAGUGAUUGAGAAUAAGCAAGAUGCUGUGGAUUAUCUCACAUGGACAUUUAUGUACAGGAGGCUUGCUCAGAAUCCUAAUUACUACAAUCUUCAGGGUGUGAGCCAUAGGCAUCUAUCAGAUUACCUAUCAGAGCUGGUGGAGAACACGUUGAGUGAUCUUGAAGCAAGUAAAUGUGUUUCUAUUGAAGAUGACAUGGAUCUCUCUCCUUUGAACCUUGGCAUGAUUGCAUCAUAUUACUACAUCAGUUAUACCACAAUUGAACGAUUCAGUUCCUCCUUGACCUCUAAAACAAAGUUGAAAGGUCUUCUUGAGAUUUUGGCUUCAGCUUCAGAGUAUUCACAACUGCCAGUACGUCCCGGGGAGGAUGACUUAAUUCGCAAAAUGUUACAUCAUCAAAGAUUCUCUUUUGAGAAUCCAAAGUACACUGAUCCACAUGUAAAAGCAAAUGCGCUGCUGCAAGCCCACUUUUCAAGGCAUCCAGUUGGUGGUAACUUGGCUGCUGACCAGCGUGAAGUGCUCCUUUCAGCUAGUAGAUUGCUUCAGGCUAUGGUUGAUGUUAUUUCCAGCAAUGGUUGGCUAAAUCUUGCUCUUCUUGCUAUGGAAGUAAGUCAGAUGGUGACACAGGGUAUGUGGGAGCGAGAUUCCAUGUUGUUGCAGCUACCACAUUUCACCAAGGACUUAGCUAAGAGAUGUCAAGAGAACCCAGGUAAAGCCAUUGAGACAGUCUUUGACCUGGUGGAAAUGGAGGACGAUGAGAGGCAGAAUCUGCUGCAGAUGUCUGAUUCACAGUUGCUGGAUAUAGCCCGUUUCUGUAAUCGUUUCCCAAACAUUGAUAUGACUUAUGAGGUGGUUGAUAGUGACAACAUCAGUGCUGGGGAAGAUGUCACAAUGGUGGUUGCCCUUGAACGAGAUCUCGAAGGGAGGUCAGAAGUGGGGGCCGUUGAUGCUCUUAGAUACCCCAAAGCAAAAGAAGAAGGCUGGUGGUUGGUGGUGGGUGACAUAAAGAGCAACCAGCUGCUAGCUAUUAAGAGGGUUACGUUACAACGGAAGUCAAAAGUCAAGCUUGAUUUUGUUGCGCCUGCUGAUGCGGGGAAGAGGACUUACACUUUGUAUUACAUGUGUGAUUCGUACCUGGGGUGUGAUCAGGAGUAUAAUUUUACAAUCGAUGUCAAAGAGUCUGUAGCAGUUGAAGAUGGCAAUUGAAAGGAGGAGCUCUGUAUUCCUUUCAAUGGCUGCCUGACUAGUAAUGCGGACUGAUCCUGUUAUAGUAGUAUAAUCUGCUUCUUGUUUAGAACCACUACUUAGGAAAUGCUACACUUUUGCUGCAUGUUAAGUCUAAUAUGCAGCUGCUGUUGCUGUUGCUGUUAAUGGUGGCUCCUGAUUGUAGGAUCUGGCAGUGCUAUAAAGUAUAAACUGUGUUAUUCUGCUAAUGGACAGGUUUUGGGGUUUUAUAUAUCCGUCAUGUUGAAAGAGAAACGUAUUGGUGUUUUAGGAAGAGUAGUAACUUAGUAAAUGGUCUAUAUGAAGCUAGUAAGCAGCAAUUGUUUAUUUGAAGCUGAAUGAAGUAAUGGGCUUCAUGCUUUAUGGUCGUCUAUCACUCGAGUGAGAGGCUUCAAAAUCGCCCCCUAUAAACAGCAAGGAAUAAGGGGCUAGUACUACAACUUGGUGAAUUUGUGUCUACAGAUGGACAUUAUACUACAACACUAUAUGGAUGUACCUGAACUGCAGAACAUAUUGCAAAACAUGACCAAGUACAAUUAAAUCACAAUUAUUGUUUUUACCAUUUAAGUGUAACUCUAGAUCUUGUACAUAAGUAAGAUAUCAUUGGUUCAACGUACAACAUAAUGUGUCUAUGAACAUGUAAGACCAACUACUUUCUUGGCUAACCAUAUCAUUAUCAUCUAAAUCUAUUCCCUACGUGUUAUAUAA